CUGGCGGCGUGCUUAACACAUGCAAGUCGAACGCGAAAGGGACUUCGGUCCUGGAGUAAAGUGGCGGCACGGGUGAGUAACGCGUAGAUAACCUGUCUUCAUGUCUGGAAUAAUACGCCGAAAGGGGUACUAAUACCGGAUAUUCUUGCUUUUCAUAAGUUAUGCAAGCAAAGGUGGCCUCUGCAUAUGCUACUGCAUGAAGAGGGGUCUGCGUACCAUUAGCUAGUAGGUGGGGUAAUGGCCUACCUAGGCGACGAUGGUUAGCGGGUCUGAGAGGAUGAUCCGCCACACUGGCACUGGAACACGGGCCAGACUCCUACGGGAGGCAGCAGUGAGGAAUAUUGCGCAAUGGGGGAAACCCUGACGCAGCGACGCCGCGUGAGUGAGGAAGGCCUUCGGGUCGUAAAGCUCUGUCAAGAGGAAAGAAGUGUACAAUGGCUAAUACCUGUUGUAUUUGACGGUACCUCUAAAGGAAGCACCGGCUAACUCCGUGCCAGCCGCCGC
rnacentral:rRNA from 1 species